GUGGGUAUAGCUCAGCUGGUUAGAGCGUCGGUUUGUGGCACCGAAGGUCGGAGGUUCGAACCCUCUUACCCACCCCA
rnacentral:tRNA from 1 species